UGCGAAAACUGCCCAGUCCAGGCAGUGCACAGAGAUAAAAGUUGAGGGGUUUAUUAGCAUUUUUGCAACCCAUUGAGCUAUGUUAGUGGGCUGAGGGGUUUUUCCUCUCAUUCCACUCCCUCUCACACUCUCUCCUCUCUUUCUCUCUCUAGAAGACAAAAGAGAAGAAGAAGAAAGGAAGAAAAGAAGGAAAAGAAGGAGAAGAAAGUGAAGAAGAAGAUCAAAGAGCACAAGGGGCUUCAUCUUCUUCCUCCCUAGUGCAAGAAAAGGAAGCUUACAAGGUAAGCUUUGAACCCUAAUGUAGUAAAACCCUAGAAAUGGGUUUGAAUGAACCUAGAAAUGGUUUUUAAUGGAAUAUCUAGUAGUUUUGAAGCUUUCUUUUGCUUCUAAAGAGAUCAAAACCUAGAUUUGCUAUAGAGGUGAGCUUGGACCACCUCUAAUGGUGAAAUCUAAUCUAGGGUUUUGGAAAG
rnacentral:lncRNA from 1 species